UACGAAGGGGGCUAGCGUUGUUCGGAAUUACUGGGCGUAAAGGGCGCGUAGGCGGUCCUUCAAGUCAGGCGUGAAGGCCCCGGGCUCAACCUGGGAACCGCGCUUGAGACUGGCGGGCUAGAGUUCGGGAGAGGAUGGUGGAAUUCCCAGUGUAGAGGUGAAAUUCGUAGAUAUUGGGAAGAACACCGAUGGCGAAGGCAGCCAUCUGGACCGACACUGACGCUGAGGCGCGAAAGCGUGGGGAGCAAACAGG
rnacentral:rRNA from 1 species